ACAGAGUUUGAUCCUGGCUCAGGACGAACGCUGGCGGCGUGCCUAAUACAUGCAAGUCGAGCGGAGUUACUUUGAAAGCUUGCUUUCAAAGUAACUUAGCGGCGGACGGGUGAGUAACACGUAGGCAACCUGCCCCUUAGACUGGGAUAACUACCGGAAACGGUAGCUAAUACCGGAUAAUUUCUUUUUUCUCCUGAAGAAAGAAUGAAAGACGGAGUAAUCUGUCACUGAGGGAUGGGCCUGCGGCGCAUUAGCUAGUUGGUGGGGUAACGGCCCACCAAGGCGACGAUGCGUAGCCGACCUGAGAGGGUGAACGGCCACACUGGGACUGAGACACGGCCCAGACCCCUACGGGAGGCAGCAGUAGGGAAUCUUCCGCAAUGGACGAAAGUCUGACGGAGCAACGCCGCGUGAGUGAUGAAGGUUUUCGGAUCGUAAAGCUCUGUUGCCAGGGAAGAACGUCCGGUAGAGUAACUGCUAUCGGAGUGACGGUACCUGAGAAGAAAGCCCCGGCUAACUACGUGCCAGCAGCCGCGGUAAUACGUAGGGGGCAAGCGUUGUCCGGAAUUAUUGGGCGUAAAGCGCGCGCAGGCGGUCAUUUAAGUCUGGUGUUUAAACCUUGGGCUCAACCUGAGGUCGCACUGGAAACUGGGUGACUUGAGUACAGAAGAGGAAAGUGGAAUUCCACGUGUAGCGGUGAAAUGCGUAGAUAUGUGGAGGAACACCAGUGGCGAA
rnacentral:rRNA from 1 species